GGAAUCUUCGGCAAUGGACGAAAGUCUGACCGAGCAACGCCGCGUGAGUGAUGAAGGCUUUAGGGUCGUAAAACUCUGUUGUUGGAGAAGAACGUGUGUGAGAGUAACUGCUCAUGCAGUGACGGUAUCCAACCAGAAAGCCACGGCUAACUACGUGCCAGCAGCCGCGGUAAUACGUAGGUGGCAAGCGUUGUCCGGAUUUAUUGGGCGUAAAGCGAGCGCAGGCGGUUUCUUAAGUCUGAUGUGAAAGCCCCCGGCUCAACCGGGGAGGGUCAUUGGAAACUGGGAGACUUGAGGGCAGAAGAGGAGAGUGGAAUUCCAUGUGUAGCGGUGAAAUGCGUAGAUAUAUGGAGGAACACCAGUGGCGAAGGCGGCUCUCUGGUCUGUAACUGACGCUGAGGCUCGAAAGCGUGGGGAGCAAACA
rnacentral:rRNA from 1 species